AUCAAUUGAAGUAUUUUCAUUCUCUCCUAGUAGAGCUUCUCUCUCUAUAUUCUCCCUCUACAAUUUGGGUGAGCGAGUGAGCAAUUGAAAAAAGGCUUGGCUUAAGCGCUCCAACAAUCCAAAGAAGCCUAAGUUGCCACAUCGGUCGUUCCCAAACUAUUGACUCGUGACACAUGCGCCAUGUUGGUAAAGGGAUUAUGUAGGUGGAGCUGGAGAAUAUCAAGUCCGAAGUUCGAUCCUCACUAGCAAUGCGCAUACACAAUGGUUUGAAACAAGCUCUCGCGAAAUCGCUUGAAGCUGCAAGGGUCGGCAAUCUGUCCAAUCCUCUCUACCUCAUAAUUCGAGCGACCAAAUGGUUCCGAGCCGACACGCAAUAAGAGAACACCCAUUAUGUCGCAUAUUUUCAUGGGAGAAUUCGAUCAUUUAAGUGCGAUGAAUGUUUUAAUGUGAGGUGUGGAGCUGAGAUGACUUGAGUUUGUACUUGGAGAGUUGAGCUCCCUGAUCAACCAACCUUUUUGUAAUAUUUCGAUUUGAUUAGUGAAUUUCAGGAAAUUAUGAGCAAA